rnacentral:rRNA from 1 species
CGCAUCUGUGCAUGCAGCAUAUCAAUAAGCGGAGGAAAAGAAACUAACAAGGAUUCCCCUAGUAACGGCGAGUGAAGCGGGAAGAGCUCAAAUUUGAAAUCUUAAAGGGUUUCCCUUUACGAAUUGUAGUUUAAAGAAGUGUUUUCUGUUGAGGUUUUGGUAAAAGUUCUUUGGAAUAGGACAUCAUAGAGGGUGAGAAUCCCGUAUUUGACCUUUACUUUCAACUUUGUGAUACACUUUCAAAGAGUCGGAUUGUUUGGGAAUGCAGUCCAAAAUGGGUGGUAAAUUUCAUCUAAAGCUAAAUAUUGGCGAGAGACCGAUAGCGAACAAGUACCGUGAGGGAAAGAUGAAAAGAACUUUGAAAAGAGAGUUAAACAGUACGUGAAAUUGUCAAAAGGGAAGCGUUUGACACCAGUGUUGUUUUUCUGAAAAUCAAUUAAAGAACUGUUUAUGCUAAGUUGUUUAGACCUUAUCAGCUAACUGUUUAGUUUUGAGCUUUUCUUUAAUGCACUUUUCAGUUAACAAGUCAACAUCAAUUUCUUUUGCUGUAAAAAAGCUUGAGGAAGGUGGCUUGAGAUUCGUCUUAAGUGUUUAUAGCCUCUUGCCUAUGCAGUCGGAGAGAUUGAGGUCUGCAGCGUAGAUCCUUCGGGGCUAAAUGCAUUUGUGCUAAGUUAUAGCAUUUUAUAGACAACUUGUUGACUAUGAUUUGUCUUGUAGCUUACUCGCUUAUGUUAUUUUACCUACGCUAGGAUGUUGAAUCUGUGCGAGACUAC